AGUAGGGAAUAUUAGUUAAUGUGCGAAAGCGCGAACUAGCAACGCCGCGUGUGCGAUGAAGGCCUUCGGGUCGUAAAGCACUUUUCCGAGGGACGAGGAAGGACGGUACCUCGGGAAUAAGCAUCGGCUAACUACGUGCCAGCAGCCGCGGUAAAACGUAGGAUGCGAGCGUUAUCCGGAUUUACUGGGCGUAAAGCGCGUGUAGGCGGUUUGGUAAGUUGGAUGUGAAAGCUCCUGGCUUAACUGGGAGAGGUCGUUCAAUACUGCCGAGCUAGAGGAUGGUAGAGGGAGGUGGAAUUCCGAGUGUAGUGGUGAAAUGCGUAGAUAUUCGGAGGAACACCAGUGGCGAAAGCGGCCUCCUGGACCAUUUCUGACGCUCAGACGCGAAAGCUAGGGUAGCAAACGGGAUUAGAGACCCCGGUAGUCUUAGCUGUAAACGAUGUGGACUUGGCGUCGGCGGGUUUAAAAUCCGUCGGUGUCGAAGCUAACGCGAUAAGUCCA
rnacentral:rRNA from 1 species